rnacentral:antisense_RNA from 1 species
CGACAAAAAGGGGACGGAGGGGAUUAUGUCGUUUGUGCACUUGCGACUUAAUCCCCUCCGUCCCCUUUUUCUUA